GACAAAGGUGGUGCAGUGGUUUGAGUGUUGGACUACAAUUCCAGAGAUCAGGGUUCAAUUCCCCACUCAGCCA
rnacentral:tRNA from 1 species